AGGGAAAAAGAUUGCUGAGGAAAGAGCUCAUAGGGGGCGUAAAUCCACUUCUGUUUUUGGAUCAGACAAGCCGGAACCCAAAUGGGACUCGGUCUCUUCUUACUGCAGACAACAUGGAGCAGAUAGAGGACCUGUUCAAUGUAGAAAACGUUGGAGCAACAUGAUCAGUGAUUUCAAGAAAAUUAAAACAUGGGAGACACAGACAAAUGGAAGCAGUGAAUCUUAUUGGAUUAUCAGUAACGAUCUCAGGCGAGAGAAAAGGCUACCAGGUUCUUUUGAUAGAGAAGUCUACAAUGUCUUGGAUGGGAAGGAAUUCACAGCAGAAGCAUACCAACUAGCUCUGGUAACCAUAACCACAGAUGAAAAACUUGACUAUGGUGUAGAAACAGUUGAAGAAGAGGAAGCGGAAGAGGG
rnacentral:lncRNA from 1 species